ACUCCUACGGGAGGCAGCAGUGGGGAAUAUUGCACAAUGGGCGCAAGCCUGAUGCAGCCAUGCCGCGUGUGUGAAGAAGGCCUUCGGGUUGUAAAUGCACUUUCAGUCGUGAGGAAGGUAGUGUAGUUAAUAGCUGCAUUAUUUGACGUUAGCGACAGAAGAAGCACCGGCUAACUCCGUGCCAGCAGCCGCGGUAAUACGGAGGGUGCGAGCGUUAUCCGGAUUUAUUGGGUUUAAAGGGUCCGUAGGCGGAUUAAUAAGUCAGUGGUGAAAUCCCAUCGCUUAACGAUGGAACUGCCAUUGAUACUGUUAGUCUUGAAUGAGGGUGCAGUGGUUGGAAUGUGUAGUGUAGCGGUGAAAUGCGAUAGAUAUUACACAGAACACCGAUUGUGAAGGCAGAUCACUAACCCUAAAUUGACGCUGAGGGACGAAAGCGUGGGGAGCGAACAGGAUUAGAUACCCUGU
rnacentral:rRNA from 1 species